rnacentral:rRNA from 1 species
UACGAAGGACCCGAGCGUUAUCCGGAUUUAUUGGGUUUAAAGGGUGCGUAGGCGGUUUUACAAGUCAGUGGUGAAAUCUCCCAGCUCAACUGGGAAACUGCCAUUGAAACUGUUUAUCUUGAGUACAUUUGAGGCGGGCGGAAUGUGUCAUGUAGAGGUGAAAUUCUUAGAUAUGACACAGAACACCAAUUGCGAAGGCAGCUCGCUAAACUGUAACUGACGCUGAGGCACGAAAGCGUGGGGAUCAAACAGG